GACUCUCUUUCAUACUAUCAAAAUGCUUAAACAGGAAAGAAAUGCUGAGAAACCUUUUCUUUUUUAGGGAAAUUUUUCAGAAUUGAAACCAACCUGUUUUCUGCAAUGGAGAUGCCCGACAGUUUCAUCUUCGAUGUAUCGGGUGGAAAUUAGAGGAUCACAAAUCGAAAGCAACUUGAUGCAAACUUCAAAAUCACAGACGCAAUUCCUAGCUUCUGGAAGACUCUUCAAGUCCUUUCUGACAGGAAGUAGCCAGACUUUGACCUUUGAACCUGGCACUAUCUGGUGCCUGGUUGUACCAGUCUUCUCCCCAGCUCCGAGUGUGUCCUGCUGAACUGCAAGGGGCAACAGAUAGAACUAGGAGGGCCUUCGAUAAGACUUGCUUGCAAACUUGGGAUUUGCUUUGGCAGAAGAUUCCUGAGGUCCUUAGCUACAGGAAACUCUUAUUGAUAAACAGACGGCAACAGUUACUUUAGUGGCCGGCUUAUCAGCAGUGGACUCCUUAGAUACCAACAUUGGUGACACAUAGCGGAGAUAAAAACCUAUUCAAGGUAGCCAGUAUACUGUGUGAGGACCAAGAAAAGUUCAGGAGAUAAAAAGAAGUCGAUGAGUGUUGACUUACCCCAUUGGUAGACCGCCAGUGUUUGUUUUCCGCCUUCAACCGCUUUACUUCAGACAUCAAACGGUUGAUCUCAUGUUGCAUGGAUAUAUUGUCUCCGAAGUCCAAGCCAUCACUGCUGAACUGACUAUGCUCAAAGCCUACAAAAAAUAAUUAAUAGCAUCAAGUUAAUGACGAAUAAGACUUUUACUUACCAUUCAUAAAUUCACCUAAAAGAGAGUAAAUAAUUACACAUAAGACUACACCUGAUACGCUACUGCACCAAAUGAACACAAAAAUAACAUCAGCACUUGUAACCACUCAUUUGUACUGAAAUUAUGAAAAAUCUUAUCCAUUCCACAGGAGCAUUACCUGUGAAUUUCACACCUCAUCACAUCUUAAAUUGAUCCCAUGAUCCUCUUGCCAACACUUUCUGUACUUAACUAAACAUUGUUAAAUACUCAACAAUAAAACUAAAAUCAUUAGAAUCAAAAUUAACCCCCCCCCCCUUCCCAUACUCAACCUCUGUGCUAAUUCCUUAUAGGUGUUUAUGAUAUGUUGAAUUCAAUACAUGGGUAUAUGUAGUGGACUCGGUCGUAAAGGUGCAAACUAUGGCCAUUAGAUGAUGAGGCUGCUGGUAACAGGUUUCUCACCAUGGCUAAUACUUGCUCUGUGUGGGUGCAUGAUUAGCGCCUGUCCAUACGGGCAAAAAUAUUUACCAAACAACAGAGCAAACAAUAUAAUGACCAAAUUACCCGGCUAUUCUUGGAAAGAAUAUGCAAAAUGGAGUGCAUUGUGAGAAAUGAAUUUAGUGGGAGUUUCUCACUUCCAUUACAUGUGAUGAUUGCCUCCAUAGUUUAGCUUGCAUUUUACCUCCGAAAUCAUUCCCAGAAAUACGUACCGGUAUGUCUUAAAAGGCAGACAUCACAAACAUAAAGUCUGGAAGUUUGUGCAAAUCAUUCAUUAUGUCUAAGGGGAUUUUCCCUCUCCAAUUCAAUCUUGCAAAUAUUUGCUCAAGGGCUUGGGGACUCAAAAUCAGGAUCAUUCAUUGGGAAUCUGAAACCGAUGAGAGGGCAAAUAACAGUGGCCAAACUGCUAUGGGCAAAAAUUGUUUAUCUUGCAUCAACUACAACAAACAUUUAAAAAUGAAUUCCAAUUCAAAAGACUCUUUACACAAUGUGAUGUAAUCUUCUGCACAAUUCUCUAUCUGAACUUCAAACAUAUUUUGAAAUCUGUAUUUAAAAUAUAGAUAGGUCUUAAAUCUGGGCAAUUUACCCACAGUUUUUGUAACAGCAGAUUUAAAAUGAAUUGUUUUGGUAAUACAACUGUAGUGGAAGUCCAGUUCAAGUGCCAAUAUUAAUGGCUGCAAUAACAUUGUCUAAUAUAAUAAUAUUUAAGUGUUAUAUUUAUUAAACAACUUACUACAGCAU
rnacentral:sRNA from 1 species